rnacentral:tRNA from 1 species
GGGCCCGUAGCUCAGCUGGCUAGAGCGUACGACUGAUAAUCGUAAGGUCGGUGGUUCGAGCCCACUCGGCCCACCA